rnacentral:misc_RNA from 1 species
AAAAAAAAAAAAAAAAAAUUCACAGUUGCAAGUAUUUUCUCAUCCAUUCCCUCUACAAUCAACAAAUCCAAUUGGACCCACAAAUAAAAGCAGUAUCAGAAACUCCAAAUUUUAAAUUGUGUUAAAAAAAUAUAAUAAUAAUAUCUUAUUCCUCCUGCCAUAUCGAGCUAAUUUGUCUGUAAAAAUAAAAUUUGUGGCUAAUUUGGCCCAAAUAGCUUAUUUUAUGGCUAAUUGAGCAUUAACAUAAUAUUCAAAGAUUAAUUUUGACCGUUAUUCCUAUAUUAAUUGAAGGCAGAUUGCAAGGGCAAAUCUUGUUCUGAAUUUGCAUCUCUUCAAAAUGUUCACUUAUUAUUUUAAAUGGUAACAUAUUUAGCCACAUUAAUUGAGAAAGUACUAUAAAAUAGGCAACUAUGAGUAGGCUGACUGACAUUAAAAAGGGCAACAAUCAUAACAGAUAUAAAAGAAAUUCUACCAUUCAAGUGCAAGAGAUGAACUUGAAAGUUGCCACCUUUCAAAUCCAUUUACAUUGAUAACUCAGCAUUCAGAUUUCAUUCCAUACAACCCAAGUGCCGCAUGGACAGAGUAAUAUGCAAAAUCCUCGCAUUAUUAUUCAUCACGAAACUAACUAGCAGAGAAUCCAAAUUACUGAUGGUCAACUAUCAUUCAGUUCAAAUCAUACCUUGCAUUGAAGACUUGUGAUCGUCGACUUCAGUAAAGCAUCUCCAACAAUCAAUCUCAACCUUUUGAUGAAAUCUCCCCUGCUUAUCUUCUUUGCCUGGAAUAGUUCAUAAUGAGUAUUUAUACAUUCCAUUUCCUUGCGAGGAACUUUAUUUGAGAUUGCAGAAAACAACAUGGGGAAAGGCAUCCAAGGGGAUCUAGGAGUUCUUGUGCUGCUUGAACCAAGACUUGAAGCUUUUCCGAGAGAUCCCCCAGAUUUUGGUUGGCCUUCACUUCCCAGACCAGUCGCAGGAGAUUCCAUUUGUAGAUUCAAAUCAACUUUAGGAGAUUCUAAAGGCGGGUUUAGACCAACAGUAGAAGACUCGAUUGGCAAAAUCCACUGAGCACCUUGUGAAAAUGUGAUGCGGGAAACAGCAUUUUUCAUCUCAUUUCCUGCAAAGUUCCCCGCUUCAACAUUGGAAGAGACCAUGAAACUAACAACAAAUUCUGGGUAAAUAUGGGAAUUCAUAUUCAUAUUCCACACUAUAUACUGGCUUGGAUUUUGAAGGUCAUCAACACCACUAUCAAAAUUCUCACUACUAGGAUG